GAGUUUGAUUCUGGCUCAGGAUGAACGCACAAGACGUGCCUAACACAUGCAAAUCGAAUGAAAACAAUUUAAUUAAAUUGUUUUCAUGGUGAACGGGUGAGUAACACAUAAGAAUCAGCUUUUAGAUAAGGCAUAAAAGAGUAAUAUCUUGGUAAUUCCUUAUAUGCGCAGCAGUGCUUAAAAAGGGGACUCCCGUCUAAAAACGAGCUUAUGCCUGAUUAGCUAGUUGGCGAGUUAAAAGCUCACCAAGGCGAAGAUCAGUAGCUGGCCUGAGAGGGCGGCCAGCCACAUUGGGACUGAGACACGGCCCAAACUCCUACGGGAGGCAGCAGUGGGGAAUCUUCUGCAAUGGGCGCAAGCCUGACAGAGCGGCGUCGUGUGAAGGAAGAAGGCCUGAAAUAGGUUGUAAACUUCUUUUACUGAGUAAUGAAUAAUGACAACGCAGUAAAAAAGUAUCGGCUAACUCCGUGCCAGCAGCCGCGGUAAUACGGGGGAUGCAAGCGUUAUCCGGAAUAACUGGGCGUAAAGCGUCUGUAGGUGGUUUAGUGUGUUCUUAGUUAAAUUCUGAAGCCUAACUUCAUGAAAAGUAAGAAAACUAUUAGACUUGAGUACGAAAGGGGUAAGAGGAAUUCUUCGAGAAGUAGUGAAAUGCGAAGAUACGAAGGAGAAGAUCAUAAGCGAAGGCUUCUUACUGGGUCGUAACUGACACUGAGAGACGAAAGCUAGGGGAGCGAAUGGGAUUAGAUACCCCAGUAGUCCUAGCUGUAAACGAUGGAUAUUCGGUGCCGGAAAUUUUAUUAGAACAUUUCGGUACCCUAGCUAACGCGUUAAAUAUCCCGCCUGAGGAGUACGCUCGCAAGGGUGAAACUCAAAGGAAUUGACGGGGGCUCGCACAAGCGGUGGAGCAUGUGGUUUAAUUCGAUGCAAAGCGAAGAACCUUACCAGGGCUUGACAGUAUGUAU
rnacentral:rRNA from 1 species